GCACUCGUUGCAGGCGACGAUGCAGAGGGCUGUAAGUGUGGUGGCCCAUCUGGGCUCUCGCCUGCAGGCAUUCUCCCCGGCCUUGUGUCGUCCAUUUAGUUGCGCACAGGAGGUGCUCCGCCGGACACCGCUGUAUGACUUCCACCUGGCCCACGGCGGGAAAAUGGUGGCGUUUGCGGGUUGGAGUCUGCCAGUGCAGUACCGGGACAGUCACACUGACUCGCACCUGCACACACGCCAGCACUGCUCGCUCUUUGACGUGUCUCAUAUGCUGCAGACCAAGAUACUUGGUAGUGACCGGGUGAAGCUGAUGGAGAGUCUAGUGGUUGGAGACAUUGCAGAGCUAAGACCAAACCAGGUGGGCCCUUUUAUUUCUGCUCUAUGAGUUUUCUUAGUCAUGAGCCAGCAAAUGGGCUGAGUCCCUACCUCAAGCUUAGGGGCACAGAGAUGAGUCAAACACAGCUUCUCAGGGCUUGCAGUCUUGGACAGAAUCCCUGAGUCAUUUCCAGAGACACAGACAUUUGUAGGGAGGGGAAUAUCCCAGCCUUACUACAUCAGGCUAGGAGGCCAGAAACCAAGGUUAAUAUGCUGCUCUCUGGCCAUCCCUUCUGCUUAACCCCUCUCUAUUCAACAUGUAGUCCCUGGCCAGGCGACGUGACUCAAACACCUGUAAUCCCGGCACUUGGGGAGGCCAAGGCGGGUGGAUCACCUGAGGUCAGGAGUUCGAGACCAGCCUGGCCAACGUGGCAAAACCUCGUUUCUACUAAAAAUACAAAAAUUAGCCGGGCGUGGUGGCGCACGCUUGUAGUCCCAGCUACUUGGGAGGCUGAGGUUGCAGCAAGCUGAGGUUGCACCACUGCGCUCUGGCCUGGGCAACAGAGCGAGACUCAGUUUAAAAAGAAAAAUAACAACAACAAAGUGUGGUCUCUAAACCAGCAUCUUUGGAGCUUGUUAGGAAUAUACUCUCAGGCGCUGCUCCAGACCUGCUGAAUCAGAACCUUCAUUUUAACAAAAUCCCCAGGUGAUUCAUGUGACCCCCUCAACCUCAGGCUUUUUGUCCAUCCAGUGGGGAGGCUAAGGAAGUUUUUUGGGGGCAUUGCUGUGGAGUACUUAGGAGAGCCUGGGAUCAUCAAGAUGACCUUUGAAGCUUUUGUCCUGUGGGUUGGCACAUGGGCUGAGUCGUCCCAGGUUUGGGUAGGUGAAGCAGCAGGUCCUAGGUGUCAUAGAUUAAGCAUCAGAUGGGACUCUCAGUACAGAGUGGGGAGGGGUGCAGAGGUCUCACCAGAUCAGGGAAGCACCCCAAGGUAGGGAGAGGAUGAAAACUUACUUGGUGCAUGAGGAUCAAAGACCUUGGACUUGGGCCCAGACUUGUACCUUGUACACCCUGAGUCCUUCACAUUAGGGUUCAUAACCUUUUGGCAGCUAAGUGGGUCCAGGGUUAUGUCUGGCUCACCCUUGGCCUUGCCCUCCUGGACCUGGAAGCCAAAACGCUCCACUUUGGUCCUAGGGGACACUGUCGCUGUUUACCAACGAGGCUGGAGGCAUCUUAGAUGACUUGAUUGUAACCAGUACUUCUGAGGGCCACCUGUAUGUGGUGUCCAACGCUGGCUGCUGGGAGAAAGAUUUGGCCCUCAUGCAGGUAUACCCCCUCUGUGUUCUAGGCACCUUGUCUUCCUUGUUCAUAGAGCAGCAUCCUUGUUAUCCAAGACAGGGUUGGCACAGACAAAGGACCUGGAAAAUGGCUCUUUCAGUGAAUGAACAGCUAUGAGACUCAAGAGCAGGCCCUCUCUGGAGCAUGCCAGGGUUUGGUGGUGGGGGAUUACCAGGCAUGGGGAGGGGGUCUUGGCCCCUCUGGUGUGAGGUGGCAGACCUGGGCUUGGGUCAUCUCUAUCACUUAGUAGCUAUGUGACCUUGUAAGAUGGGAACCAGCCUACUACCUUUUUUUCCUCCCUCCUCCUCCUCCUCUCCACUGUCUUACUACUGUCCAGCUCUGCAGCGUCCAGCCCAUGGUAGCUGCUCAGUAAGUGGCCCCAGAUGCUCUUGUGUUUCUGUCUUUUAGGACAAGGUCAGGGAGCUUCAGAACCAGGGCAGAGAUGUGGGCCUGGAGGUGUUGGAUAAUGCCCUGCUAGCUCUGCAAGGUGAGAGGGCUGGGCUGGGGUUGGAGCCAACCUUUGCCUUCCUGGCUUUAUUGACUGCUUAGCACAGAGGCCAUACCAAGAAGAAGGUGUGGAAGGUGUGAUAUUUGUGUGCCAUAAUUUUAAGUUUGGUAUCUUGCCCUCCUCCUACCUACCACAAGGCUCCAUGGGCUAGAGACAAGGGCAUCUUCUCCCACUUGCAGAGUAAGACGUGCUCAGGGCUUGUUCUAGUCCCUGAAUAAGGCUUUAGUCCAGGUUUGAGGGAUGCUGGGACCUGGAUACUUGGUCACUGGCUCCCUGGGCCCAGGCCCCACUGCAGCCCAGGUACUACAGGCCGGCGUGGCAGAUGACCUGAGGAAACUGCCCUUCAUGACCAGUGCUGUGAUGGAGGUGUUUGGCGUGUCUGGCUGCCGUGUGACCCGCUGUGGCUACACAGGAGAGGAUGGUGUGGAGGUGUGUCAAGAAGUGGUGUAGGGGGCAGUACAGGGCACAAGAUGCAUGUGAGGGGUUGGGGGUAUGUGGUACAGGGAGCUUCCCAUCUGCCCUCUGGUGUUUCAUACAGAUCUCGGUGCCGGUAGCGGGGGCAGUUCACCUGGCAACAGCUCUUCUGAAAAACCCAGAGGUGAAGCUGGCAGGGCUGGCAGCCAGGGACAGCCUGCGCCUGGAGGCAGGCCUCUGCCUGUACGGGAAUGACAUUGAUGAACACACUACACCUGUGGAGGGCAGCCUCAGUUGGACACUGGGGAAGCGCCGCCGAGCUGCUAUGGACUUCCCUGGAGCCAAAGUCAUUGUUCCCCAGCUGAAGGGCAAGGUGCAGCGGAGGCGUGUGGGGUUGAUGUGUGAGGGGGCCCCCAUGCGGGCACACAGUCCCAUCCUGAACAUGGAGGGUACCAAGAUUGGUACUGUGACUAGUGGCUGCCCCUCGCCCUCUCUGAAGAAGAAUGUGGCGAUGGGUUAUGUGCCCUGCGAGUACAGUCGUCCAGGGACAAUGCUGCUGGUAGAGGUGCGGCGGAAGCAGCAGAUGGCUGUAGUCAGCAAGAUGCCCUUUGUGCCCACAAACUACUAUACCCUCAAGUGAAGCUGGCUCAGGGUGGGGCUGUCCCUUCCAGAAGUUUUGCCCCUACAAGGGGUUAGUCAAGAAGCUGAGGCAGAACUCACUGGGGGUGGGCAGUUAAGGUGGAGGCUGAUUCUAAUUGUCUGGCUGAGGGGCCACACCACCUAUUCCCCCCACCUAACUCAUGCCACUCCAGCUUCCUUCAGGACCCUGCUUCUGAGUGACGGACCAGCUCACACAAUGUCUUGUUUCAGUCCAUGAUCCCACUGACCUACUCUUGCCUGCUGGAGGGUAAUGAGAAGCUUUGGUUCUGCCAUCUCUCCCACUCUGCCAGGUGCUGGCUGUGGAGCAAAGGCUCACCUUUGUGGGGAGGAUAAAACCUGCCCAACCUACCUCACCAUGGUUUUUCACAUUGCAAACGGUAAUAACAUGGGCAGUGUGGACUUAGGCUACCCCCUCCAGUUUGCUUUCCGUAAAUGCAAAUUGUCCCUACUGCAAGUCAGGAAUGAUUGCCGACUCACAGUAGGGCUGCUAUGCCUGUGUGUAAACUUGGGGAUGGCUGAGGGAACACAGACUCACUCUUCCGCAUUCCCAAGUUGGUCUAGUGUGCUGCCCAGUAGCAAACCAUGGCAGGCUCACCACCUAUUCUGAGCUCCAGGGCUGUUGUAGGGCAGGGUGGGCUUCCUCCCAGACUUGCCUUACCCUGGGCUGAUCUUUGCCCCUGGUAUGCAUUAAUGGACUCCACUGAAUCCUGAAAAAAAAUUAAACUUCCUUCUUACUUGCCA
rnacentral:sRNA from 1 species